GAUGAACGCUGGCGGCGUGCCUAAUACAUGCAAGUCGAGCGAACAGAUGAGGAGCUUGCUCCUCUGACGUUAGCGGCGGACGGGUGAGUAACACGUGGAUAACCUACCUAUAAGACUGGGAUAACUUCGGGAAACCGGAGCUAAUACCGGAUAAUAUAUUGAACCGCAUGGUUCAAUAGUGAAAGACGGUUUUGCUGUCACUUAUAGAUGGAUCCGCGCCGCAUUAGCUAGUUGGUAAGGUAACGGCUUACCAAGGCGACGAUGCGUAGCCGACCUGAUAGGGUGAUCGGCCACACUGGAACUGAGACACGGUCCAGACUCCUACGGGAGGCAGCAGUAGGGAAUCUUCCGCAAUGGGCGAAAGCCUGACGGAGCAACGCCGCGUGAGUGAUGAAGGUCUUCGGAUCGUAAAACUCUGUUAUUAGGGAAGAACAAAUGUGUAAGUAACUAUGCACGUCUUGACGGUACCUAAUCAGAAAGCCACGGCUAACUACGUG
rnacentral:rRNA from 1 species